rnacentral:rRNA from 1 species
UACGUAGGGGGCAAGCGUUGUCCGGAAUCAUUGGGCGUAAAGAGCGUGUAGGCGGCUCGAUAAGUCUGCUGUGAAAGUCCAGGGCUCAACCCUGGAAGGCCGGUGGAAACUGUCGGGCUAGAGUCCGGAAGAGGCGAGUGGAAUUCCUGGUGUAGCGGUGAAAUGCGCAGAUAUCAGGAGGAACACCGGUGGCGAAGGCGGAUCUCUGGGCCUUACCGACGCUCAGCGCGAAAGCUAGGGGAGCGAACAGG